rnacentral:rRNA from 1 species
UUAAAACUUUCAACAACGGAUCUCUUGGCUCUGGCAUCGAUGAAGAACGCAGCGAAAUGCGAUAAGUAAUGUGAAUUGCAGAAUUCAGUGAAUCAUCGAAUCUUUGAACGCACAUUGCGCCCGCCAGUAUUCUGGCGGGCAUGCCUGUUCGAGCGUCAUU